UACGUAUGGGGCAAGCGUUAUCCGGAUUUACUGGGUGUAAAGGGAGCGCAGGCGGCCUGGCAAGCCUGAUGUGAGAUACCGGGGCCCAACCCCGGGGCUGCAUCGGGAACUGCCAGGCUGGAGUGCCGGAGAGGCAGGCGGAAUUCCUAGUGUAGCGGUGAAAUGCGUAGAUAUUAGGAGGAACACCAGUGGCGAAGGCGGCCUGCUGGACGGUGACUGACGCUGAGGCUCGAAAGCGUGGGGAGCAAACAGG
rnacentral:rRNA from 1 species